GCGGCAGGUGGCGGCGACCGGCUCCUCUGGCGUCUGGUUCUUCUUCUCCUACGAGGCACUAGCGGCUAGGGUUUUUGUGGUCAGGUGUGGGUGGGGUUAUUUAUACCCUUUGCUUUUUAAUCUCAAUCGUCCAUCAAGAUUAAAUCUGGACCAUUCGAUCACGAUUUAAUUGGGAUUAAAUUCGGGCCGUCCAUCGCGAUGCAAUCUGGGACGUCCGAUCGCGCGCACGCGAAUCGUCCACGUGGCCCGUUCCCUGGUCAGCGUUGCCUUGCC
rnacentral:lncRNA from 1 species